CGAGCCUACGGGACGCAGCAGUAGGGAAUCUUCCACAAUGGGCGAAAGCCUGAUGGAGCAACGCCGCGUGGGUGAAGAAGGUCUUCGGAUCGUAAAACCCUGUUGUUAGAGAAGAAAGUGCGUGAGAGUAACUGUUCACAUUUCGACGGUAUCUAACCAGAAAGCCACGGCUAACUACGUGCCAGCAGCCGCGGUAAUACGUAGGUGGCAAGCGUUAUCCGGAGUUAUUGGGCGUAAAGGGAACGCAGGCGGUCUUUUAAGUCUGAUGUGAAAGCCUUAGGCUUAACCGGAGGAGUGAAUUGGAA
rnacentral:rRNA from 1 species